rnacentral:rRNA from 1 species
AUGUUUGAUUCAGGAGAGGAUGACUGGAAGGAAACUUGGGAAGGAACCAGGCGUAGUGGAUUGUGGUAUAUGGAUCGUGAUGUGUCUAGGUCUGGUGCUAGUCCUAUUUUGGCUGUACUAGUUGGAGUAAGUGAGACAAUGGCGAUGAUCCAUCACUGUCGCAUGGGGCAUAUGGCUUUUGAUAAGAUGAGUAAGAUGUUUCCUGAUGUAAUGCAUGGAGUAGACAAGAGUAAGCUUGUGUGUGAUGCAUGUGAAUAUGCAAAGCACACAAGAAUCUCAUAUUUGAGUAAGGGGCUAAGGAGUAUAUCCCCGUUUAUGCUGAUUCACUCUGAUGUGUGGACAUGUCAUGUUGUUUCUGUUAGUGGAAUGAAAUAUUUUGUGACAUUUAUAGACUGCCACACUCGCAUGACUUGGGUGUACCUCAUGCGACAUAAAGAUGAGGUAUUCCAAUGUUUUCAGGAGUUUUAUGCCUAUGUGCGAAACCAAUUCAAUGUGCAGGUGCAGGUGAUCAGAUCUGACAAUGGAACUGAAUAUGUAAACAAGCAAUUUGGAGGUUUCCUGUCAGCACAAGGCAUAAUGCACCAAACAUCAUGUCCAGAUACCCCUGCUCAGAAUGGUGUUGCAGAAAGGAAAAACCGACACAUUUUAGAAGUGGCUCGAUCACUUAUGUUCACCACGAAUGUGCCAAAAUUCUUGUGGAGUGAAGCUGUCAUGACUGCAAUGUUCCCGAUCAACCGGAUGCCUUAA